GACGUAGGAGGCGAGCGUUAUCCGGAUUCACUGGGCGUAAAGCGCAUGUAGGCGGAUGUCUAAGUCGUGUGUUAAAGCCCCUGGCUCAACUGGGGGAGGUCAUGCGAGACUGGAUGACUUGAGGGCAACAGAGGCACGUGGAACUCCCGGUGUAGCGGUGGAAUGCGUAGAGAUCGGGAAGAACACCCGUGGCGAAGGCGACUCUUUGGCCUGUAACUGACGCUGAGGCGCGAAAGCGUGGGGAGCAAACAGGG
rnacentral:rRNA from 1 species